CUCAAUGAAAUUUAAAUAGCCGCAAUACAAUUGUGCUAAGGUAGCAUAAUCAUUUGUCUUUUAAUUAAAGACUAGAAUAAAAGAUUUAACAUUUUCAUUUCUUUCUAAAAUAAAUCCAUUAAAAUUAUCUUUAAUAUAAAAAGAUAUUAAUUCAUAAAAAAGACGACAAGACCCUAUUGAACUUAACUAAAGUUAAACUGGGGUAGUUAAUUAAAUAUUAUUUUAAUUUUAAUAUAAAAAAUAACCUAAUAUAAUUAAAUAAAUCAAGUUACCAUAGGGAUAACAGCGUAAUAACUUUCCUUAGAUCUUAUUUAAAAAUUUGUUUACGACCUCGAUGUUGAAUUAAUAAUCUACUAAAUGCAAUAAUCUAGUAAGAAAGUCUGUUCGACUU
rnacentral:rRNA from 1 species